rnacentral:tRNA from 1 species
GCCUGAGUGGCUCAGUUGGUUGAGCGUCUGACUUUGGCUUAGGUCCUAACCUCACCUCUCGUGAGUUUGAGCCUCACAUCGGGAG